rnacentral:rRNA from 1 species
GAUGAACGCUGGCGGCGUGCCUAAUACAUGCAAGUCGAGCGAACGGACGAGAAGCUUGCUUCUCUGAUGUUAGCGGCGGACGGGUGAGUAACACGUGGAUAACCUACCUAUAAGACUGGGAUAACUUCGGGAAACCGGAGCUAAUACCGGAUAAUAUUUUGAACCGCAUGGUUCAAAAGUGAAAGACGGUCUUGCUGUCACUUAUAGAUGGAUCCGCGCUGCAUUAGCUAGUUGGUAAGGUAACGGCUUACCAAGGCAACGAUGCAUAGCCGACCUGAGAGGGUGAUCGGCCACACUGGAACUGAGACACGGUCCAGACUCCUACGGGAGGCAGCAGUAGGGAAUCUUCCACAAUGGGCGAAAGCCUGACGGAGCAACGCCGCGUGAGUGAUGAAGGUCUUCGGAUCGUAAAACUCUGUUAUUAGGGAAGAACAUAUGUGUAAGUAACUAUGCACAUCUUGACGGUACCUAAUCAGAAAGCCACGGCUAACUACGUG